rnacentral:lncRNA from 1 species
CCCAAUUAUCAAAUUAACAAAACACAAAUCCAUAAUUGUUUGAUUAAUAAUCCAGGAUCCUCCAAAACAUAACUCUUUGUCUCGUGUGUGUACAAUCGAGCCGUCACCUUCCCGUGAUCCUGAGAAGUACCUGAGACACAUAACACAUAACACGGUAAGCACGAUGCUUAGUGAGUUCCCCAAAAUACCAAAUACAACACUUUAGUCACUCGAGGCUAUAACUCUACAAGACCCUCCGGUCUAUGUGUCUCAGUGGAACCCUCCGGUCUCACGGCUAGUUGCACCCUCUGGUCCGGUCUCAGUGAGGACCCUCCGGUCUCACAGCUCGUUGGACCCUUCGGUCCGAUCUCAGUGAAGACCAUCCGGUCUCACAGCUUGUUGGACCCUCCGGUCCGGUCUCAGUAUCACAUAAUAUAGCAUAUAUACCACACAGACAAAUGCUUAACUCAAGUAAGCACAAAAGACCAAUAUAUACAAAGAUUACAAUGACAACAUAAGUCACAAAGACUGUAUGCAUGAUAACACAUAACACAUUAUAAACAAGUAAGACCCUUUGGUCGAUAAUGUACCAAUACCCUCCGGUUAAUAGUGUAAAUAAGACCCUCCGGUCAAUAACACAAAUAAGACCCACCGGUCACAAACAAGUCACCACACAAGUAAGUAUAGUGAGAAGACUCACCUCGAGUGGCGAACAAAUCCUAUAAAUGUUGUUGUUGUACUCCGGCUUCUAACACUGAGCCAAACCCACAAUUAACCCCAUUAGGAUUUAAGACCAACCUUCACAUAUUAGGUCUAAAUAUGGUCCACCAAUUUGGUCCAUAAAUAACUCAAGCCCAUUGGGCUCACCAAGGCCCAAUACCAAAUAGAUCCACAAAAGUCCACUAAUCGCCUAACUAUGGCCUAAUUUUCCAAAUUGGGCCCAAACCCUCAUAUGAGCCUUAACUCAAAGCCCAUCUAAAUACUCUAGUCCACAACUAUUCUUGGAUGGCCCAUCAAUAGCCCAAUCAUCAAAUCCCAAUAGAAGGCUAAAUUUAAGGCCCAAGCAAAAUUAGGAUUUCCACAUGAAAUGACGAUUAGGGUUAAGUGUUCUUACUUGACCCAUUAAGGACUUAACCCAUCAAGUCCAUUUUUCCCACUAAGUCAUCAAACAAUAGAGUCAGCAUUGAGUCAUAACUUCAGUUCACUAGUCCAGACGCGGGUCCCAAUAGGCCCAAACCAACAAACCCAAAGUUAGGGUUUUCUAAACCCUAAUUAGGAUUUCUAGCCCAAUCAUAAACCAACCCAGUCCAAUAUUAAGCAAUUGGGCUAAUUAGGGUUCCACUAGGUCAACACCACCCACUGCCACCUCAGGUAGUGGUGAUUGGCAGCGGCCCAGGGCGGCAGGCGGCGGCAACCACCAUUUCUAAUGGUGGUGGUGAUGGUUCUUGUCCAAAAAGUGCAUAAACAACCUCAAACAUAAAAUAUAUGCGCACACAGCCACCUCCCAUGGUGGCUGGUGGUGGCAUAGGGCGGUAGAGAAAUAGAAUUGGGUGGCAGCCACCACCUUGAGGUGGUGGUGGUGGAUUUUCUAGUCCAUUACUUCGCAAAUAACACCUCAAACACCGAGAAUAGCCAAAAUAAUCGAUCGUACACUUGCCCAGCCACCUCACAGGCGGAUGCCAUAACCAGAAUGGGCAGAAACGAUGGCUAAUAGGUCACUGGCGAUAGGCUGCAGCGUCCCACUACGUCCAAUCAGAAGAAACGAAGAAGAAGAAAGAAGAUGCGUGAUUAGCAGUCUUACCAAGAGCCUCCAGGUCACGCCAGAAUCGUGCAGCGACGAACACGACUGUAGCUGCCGGUCUCGGUGACUCCUCGGGCUCCCUUACGCCUCCGACAGCAGCAAGGAGGUGGUGCUCAUCGGCGCUUCAACGGUGAGGCAGCAGCGGCAAUCCUGGAGCUUCUCAUGGUGGUGGCUGAAG